rnacentral:rRNA from 1 species
GGUUGAUCCUGCCAGUAGUCAUAUGCUUGUCUUAAAGAUUAAGCCAUGCAUGUCUAAGUAUAAGUAUUAUACAGCGAAACUGCGAAUGGCUCAUUAAAACAGUUAUAGUUUAUUCGAUUAUUCUCCUCUACAUGGAUAACCGUAGUAAUUCUAGAGCUAAUACAUGCUGCAAGACCUGACUUUUGUGGAAGGGUUGUAUUUAUUAGAUAUAAAACCAAUACUCUCGCAAGGGAGGAUUGUGAUGAUUCAUAAUAACUGAGCGGAUCGCGGCCAAGCCGUGACGAAUCGUUCAA